UAGCAAUACACGAGUGGCGCACGGGUGAGUAACGCGUGGAUAUCUGCCUUUUGGUUCGGAAUAACUCCGGCGAAACUGGAGCUAAUACCGGAUGGUUCUUUCGGGAUAAAGAUUUUAUCGCCAAAAGAUGAGUCCGCGUACGAUUAGCUAGUUGGUGAGGUAAUGGCUCACCAAGGCGACCGAUCGUUAGCUGGUCUGAGAGGACGAUCAGCCACACUGGGAAUGAGACACGGCCCAGACUCCUACGGGAGGCAGCAGUGGGGAAUAUUGGACAAUGGGGGCAACCCUGAUCCAGCCAUGCCGCGUGAGUGAUGAAGGCCUUCGGGUUGUAAAGCUCUUUUGGCGGGGACGAUGAUGACGGUACCCGCAGAAUAAGCCCCGGCUAACUUCGUGCCAGCAGCCGCGGUAAGACGAAGGGGGCUAGCGUUGUUCGGAAUUACUGGGCGUAAAGCGCGUGUAGGUGGUUUGCCAAGUUGGGUGUGAAAGCCUUGAGCUCAACUCAAGAAAUGCACUCAGUACUGGCAGACUAGAGGACCGGAGAGGAUAGUGGAAUUCCCAGUGUAGUGGUGAAAUACGUAGAGAUUGGGAAGAACACCAGUGGCGAAGGCGGCUAUCUGGACGGUUUCUGACACUAAGACGCGAAAGCGUGGGGAGCAAACAGGAUUAGAUACCCUGGUAGUCCACGCCGUAAACGAUGGGUGCUAGACGUUGGCGAGCUUGCUCGUCAGUGUCGCAGCUAACGCGUUAAGCA
rnacentral:rRNA from 1 species